UCCGGCCCGGGGAGGCCAACACGUCCCUUCCCGCCUCAGCCCGCGGGCCGGGCCGGGCACCGUCCCUGUGCGGCGGCCCCCGCAGGGCUGGGGACGGCCGGCUGCGGGUGCGGCGAGGAGAACGCGGGGAGGAGAGAUGGACUGCUGAACUGGUGCUCCUUCAUCCCCACCACUGUGUGUAUGAUGGAAUGAGCUACGUCUUCCCAAACCUUCAGUCCACCACCAUGACCAGGAACCAUGCAGUCUUCUGCCAUCCCCUUCCAAUUAUUUUAAAAUUAUUAUUAAUAUUUUGCUCUCAUAGCCUCAUGGAUGAGAAGGAGCUUGCUUCUUCUCUUUGGUUCCUCUGUUUUCUACCUUUACUUUCCCAUGUAAGAAGUUUAAAUUUGGACUUGCUCUUUCCUUUUUGUAUCGUCCCUUUGGGGAAAAAUGCGAACAGCCUCUCAGUCCACUGUGGACAAAGUUGCAGCUUUUCACUUUCUUAGAAGUGAAAGUUGGUUAUGAUUUCUGGUAUUUAUCCAUUAAAUACACAAGUAGUAGAAUUCUGCCAUUCCUAUACUAGAAAUUAUUAAAGGCAGAGAGUUUUAGAGAAGAUGUGGCAAUAAUGAAACAUGCUUAGUGAUACCUGGGGUGCUCUUUCUUCCAAGUAGGAAGACAUUUCAGUUUGGUUUCUAGAGUGCAGUCAUUUACACUUGCUGGUCACAAGUCCUAACAGAUGAAUCCAGAGAAAAGUAUGGGUGUGUCUACAGUAGGAGUUUGGUGUCCAACAUGGGCUGGUUUUUUAGGUGCAUCCUGUUAGUGCAUUUACACUCACUCCAAUUCAAGUCUGGCUAAGUCCUAAAGCAAUUGAAAAGGUAUGCUGAAAAAAAGUUCCUGUUCACAGUGCUUCAAAUAAACUUAAUAAAAAGUAAUGAAUUUGAUAAACAGCAUAUACAGACUUGUACAAACCUAUCUAAAGUAAAUAGAAAUAUUUUUGUAAAAUAUAUAGAAGAUUUUAAUAAUGGGGAAAAUCUCUAAAUACUUUUGCAUUUCAAUUGCAUGUCAACAUUUCAUACAACUAUUGAGAAAGAAAGUCUAACGUUUCAUCUGAUCUUGGGGAUUAAAUGCUACUUAUUUGUACCCACAGCCACAUUUCAAGGUGUGAAGGUUCUUCUCGCUUGGAGAUGGGCAAGAACUGUUUCUAAAGCCCACAUUCUGAAGGUAAUUGGAUUACAGCUAGAAACUCAAGAUUACUGUUGCCACUGCUGUAUGAGUCCUGGUUUCUUCUACUUUUUGGACUAGUUGGCAUACUAUUACAGAGCUUUAUGUCUUUUUAAACCACAUUCUUUAUCAGAACACAACAAUACAAGAAAUUGUUCUAACUGCGCUGCAGAGAGAAGCUUAAUGAUUUGCAAAAGACAAACAUGAACAAGAUACUAAAAAAAAAAUAAAUUCCUCUGGCAUUGUGCUGAAAAA